rnacentral:rRNA from 1 species
UACGUAGGGGGCUAGCGUUGUCCGGAAUCAUUGGGCGUAAAGCGCGCGUAGGCGGCGCGGUAAGUCGGGUGUGAAAUCUCGGAGCUUAACUCCGAAACUGCAUUCGAUACUGCCGUGCUUGAGGACUGGAGAGGAGACUGGAAUUUACGGUGUAGCGGUGAAAUGCGUAGAUAUCGUAAGGAAGACCAGUGGCGAAGGCGGGUCUCUGGACAGUUCCUGACGCUGAGGCACGAAGGCCAGGGGAGCAAACGGG